rnacentral:lncRNA from 1 species
GUCAGGAGCGCGUGCUGGAUGGGGAAGCAGAGGGAUGUGGAAGCCCUGGCUGGGUGAAGGCUGUGGUGUCUGCCCGCCCCACGCCCACAGAGUCACCGAUUACGGGAACAUCCAACGUACCAUCCUGAGCUUGUGGGGCCUAAGGGCCUGUUUCCACCACCUGCUGUGUGAUCUUGGGCUACCUACAUCGCCUCUCUGAGUCUUGUU